rnacentral:lncRNA from 1 species
UGACUUCUACAAUGUUUUUAAAAUCCAAAUGAACAGUUUGUGUUUUCUAGUUUCAGGUUAUGCCUUCGACAUCUAUGGAAUAUUGGCCCUUCAGUGGGAAUAUGGAUCUUUCAUGGAUCUUCUUCUGGAUAUAUAGCUACUCAGAGAUGACAAGACCAGCAAAUUACUUAACAUUUCCUCCUUUGGUGUCCUGGGAUCAAAGACUGGAGUGGAUUGGAAUCAAAGUUGGUUGAAAUGGCUCUCAGCUUCUCUGCUCACCAUUAAAGUAGGAUUUGGAACAUUUAGAAGAUGUUCAUCAUUCUUGGUUUUGGAUCCCUCCAGAGGAGCUGGGUCACAGAAGACACUCUCCAAGAUGCUAUGGAUCUUCCACCAGCUGAUUCUGGUUUGUCAUCUCAGGAGCCUGUGACUGACUAACAGGAGGUGUCAUGUCAUGUCUGUUGGUUGUUUUUAUUGUAUGCAUGAGUUCAAGAUGAGCUCUGCUCUAGGCCUGUGAUUGCCAAGAAGCAUCCUGUACUUGCUCUCCUCUUCAGUGGUAGAGAAAUCACCUGGUAUAUGUGAGGCACUGAGUUCAAUUCUUAGCACCACAUAAAAAUAUAUAAAAUAACGGUAUUGUGUGCACCUAAACUAACUCUCUCUCUCUCUUUA